GCCUUCGUGGUGUAAUUGGAAGUAUACUCAAAUCGUAUUCGAGAGGUCCAGGGUUCGAGUCCCGGCGAGGGCA
rnacentral:tRNA from 1 species